UCCUACGGGAGGCAGCAGUCGGGAAUUUUGCGCAAUGGCCGCAAGGCUGACGCAGCAACGCCGCGUGAGUGAAGAAGGCCUUCGGGUUGUAAAGCUCUGUUGCCCGUGACGAACGGCCUCAUCAGGAAAUGGGUGAGGAUUGACGGUAGCGGGAGAGGAAGCCCCGGCUAACUACGUGCCAGCAGCCGCGGUAAUACGUAGGGGGCGAGCGUUGUCCGGAUUUAUUGGGCGUAAAGGGCGUGUAGGCGGCCUGUUAAGUCCGAAGUGAAAGCCCGCAGCUCAACUGCGGGAUUGCUUCGGAAACUGGGAGGCUUGAGUGCUCUAGAGGGCAGUGGAAUUCCCGGUGUAGCAGUGAAAUGCGUAGAGAUCGGGAGGAACACCAGUGGCGAAGGCGACUGCCUGGGGAGCAACUGACGCUGAGGCGCGAAAGCUGGGGGAGCAAACGGGAUUAGAUACCCCGGUAGU
rnacentral:rRNA from 1 species